GAAUAUUGGACAAUGGGCGAAAGCCUGAUCCAGCAAUGCCGCGUGAGUGAUGAAGGCCUUAGGGUUGUAAAGCUCUUUCGGCGGGGACGAUGAUGACGGUACCCGCAGAAGAAGCCCCGGCUAACCCCGUGCCAGCAGCCGCGGUAAUACGAAGGGGGCUAGCGUUGUUCGGAAUUACUGGGCGUAAAGCGCGCGCAGGCGGUUUUCCAAGUCAGGGGUGAAAGCCCAGAGCUCAACUCUGGAACUGCCUUUGAAACUGGAAAACUAGGGUACGGGAGAGGUGAGUGGAAUUCCGAGUGUAGAGGUGAAAUUCGUAGAUAUUCGGAAGAACACCAGUGGCGAAGGCGGCUCACUGGCCCGUUACCGACGCUCAGGCGCGACAGCGUGGGGAGCAAACAGG
rnacentral:rRNA from 1 species